CUUCCUCUACAGUUUUCCUGACUGCUACAUUUCAUGAGAAGGGAUUGUUUAUGAGGGUCAAGGAGCUGGAGGCCUGGGGAGGAGCUGGUGUUUCUGUUCAAGUUUGAGGGUCCUGGAGCUGGAGUCCAGGGGAGGAGCCGGUGCUGCCACUGAUGUCUUAGGGUCGUGGAGCUGAAGAUCCCAGAGGAGCCGGUGCUGCUAUUCUAGCUUGAGUUUCGUGGAGCUGGAGACCCAGGGAGAAGAUGGUGCUGCUGUUCUAAUUUAAGGAUCGUGAAACAGAAGACCCAGAAAGGAGCUGGUGCUGCCGCUGCUCAGAUCUGAGGGUGUUGGAGCUGGAGACUUAGGGAGGAGACGUCUUGUUCUAGUUUCAGGGUCGUGGAGCUGCAGACUGAGGCAGGAGCAUUGUUGUUAUAGUUCGAGGGUCAGAAAGCUGGCGACCCAGGGAGGAGAGGUCUUGUUCUGGUCUGAGGGUCGUGGAGCUGCAGACCCAGGGAGGAGCAAUUUUGUUGUAGUUCGAGGGUCAGGAAGCUGGCGACCCAGGGAGAGGUCUUGUACUAGUCUGAGGGUCGUGGAGCUGCAGACCCAGGGAGGGGCAAUGUUGUUGUAAUUCGAGGGUCUGGCAGCUGGCAACUCGGGGAGGAGAAGUCUUGUUGGAGUUUGAGGGUCGUGGAGCUGCCAACCCAGGGAGGAGCAAUUUUGUUGUAGUUCAAGGGUCCGGAAGCUGGCGACCCAGGGAGGAGAGGUCUUGAUCCGGUCUGAGGGUCGUGGAGCUACAGACCCAGGGUGGAGCAAUGUUGUUGUAGUUCGAGGGUCUGGUAGCUGGCAACUUGGGGAAGACAAGUCUUGUUCGAGUUCGAGGGUCGUGGAGCUGCAGACCCAGGGAGGAGCCAUUUUGUUGUAGUUCAAGGGUCCGGAAACUGGCGACCCAGGGAGGAGAGGUCUUGUUCUGGUUUGAGGGUCGUGGAGCCGCAGACCCAGGGAGGAGCAAUGUUGAUGUAAGUUGAAGGUCCGGUAGCUGGCACCCUGGGGAGGAGAAGUCUUGUUCGAGUUUGAGGGUCGUGGAGCUGCCGACCCAGGGAGGAGCAAUUUUGUUGUCGUUCGAGUGUCAGGAAGCUGGCGACUCAGGUAGGAGAAAUUUUGUUCUAGUUUCAGGGUUGUGGAGCUGCAGACCCAGGGAGGAGCAAGGUUGUUGUAAUUCGAGGGUCAGGAAGCUGGCGACCCAGGGAGGAGAGGUCUUGUUCUGGUCUGAGGGUCAUGGACCUGCAGACCCAGGGAGGAGCAGUGUUGUUGUAGUUUGAAGGUCAGGAAGCUGGCGGCCCAGGGAGGAGAGGUCUUGUUCUAGUUUGAGGGUCGUGGAGCUGCAGACCCAGGGAGGAGCCAUGUUGGUUUGAAUGUUGUGGAUCUGGAGAUCCACGGAGGAGCUGGUGCUGCCUUUGAAGUCUGAGAGUCACUGAGCUGGAGAUCCAGAGAGGAACCGGUGUUGCUGUUCUAGUCUGAACAGAUCUAGAGUUCUGGGGAGUUGCCGGUUCUGCCUCUCAAGUCUGAGAGUUGUUGAGCUGGAGAUUCAGGGAGGAGCCUGUGUUGCUGUUGUAGUUUGAGGGUCAUGGAGCUGCAGACUCAGGGAGGAGGGGUGCGGUUCUAGUCUGAGGGUUGUGGAGCUUGAGACACAGGGAGGAGCUGGUGCUGCUGUUGUUUAAGGCUGAGGGUUGUGGUGCUGGAGACCCAGGUAAGAGCUGGUGCUGCUGUUGUUUAAGGCUGAGGGUUGUGUAGCUGGACAGUGGGGAGGAGGUAGUCUUAGUGUCUAAUGUGAGGUUGGUGGAGCUGUGGACCUGGGGUGGGGCCGGUGCUACUGUGUAGUUUGAGGGUCAUGGAACUGGAGACCUAGGGAGGAGCUGGUGCUACCACCAUUUAAGUCAGAGGGUCAUGGAUCUGGAGCUUUGGGGAACAGCCCAUGCUGCUGUUUAACUGUGGGGAGGAUGUGCUGUGUCCAUUGAAGUUUGAGGGUUUGGGAGCUGGAGACCCAGGGAGGAGCUGAUGAUGCCAUUCUAUUUUGAGGGUCGUGGAUCUGGGGACCUGGGGAGAGGCUGGUACUGCUGUUGUAGUUUGAGGUUCGUGGAACUGGAGACAGGGGGAGGAGCCGGUGGUGCUGUUCAUGUCUGAGGGUUGUAGAGCUGGAGACCCAGGGAGAAGCCCGUACUACAGCUUUUUAAGUCUGAGGGUCGUGGAGCCUGAGACCUGGGGAGAGGCCAGUGCUGCUGUUCAAAUGGCUCCUUUCCGGGUCUCCAGCUCCAUGACCUUUAAACUAGGAGAGCAGCAGCAGCUCCUCCCGGGGUCUUCCAGCUCCAUGACCCUCACACUAGAACAGCAGCAGCAGCACAGGGAGGAGCUGCUGCUGUUCAAGACUGAGGGUCGUGUAGCUGGAGAGCGGGGAGGAGGUAGUCUUGGUGUCUCGUAUGAGGGUGGUGGAGUUGUGGACCUGGGGAGGAGCCGGUGCUGCUGUGUAGUUUGAGGGUUGUGGAACUGGAGACCUAGGGAGGAGCCGGUGCUACUGCCAUUUAAGUCAGAGGGUCGUGGAUCUGGAGCUUUUGGGAACGGCCCGUGCUGCUGUUUAACUGUGGGGAGCAUCCGGUGUGUCAAUUGAAGUUUGAGGGUUUGGGAGCUGGAGACCCAGGAGGGAUCCGAUGAUGCCAUUCUAUUUUGAGGGUCAUGGAUCUGGAGACCUGGGGAGAGGCCGGUACUGCUGUUGUAGUUUGAGGGUCGUGGAAGUGGAGACAAGGGUAGGAGCUGGUGCUUCUGCUGUUUAUGUCUGAGGAUUGUAGAGCUGGAGACCCAGGGAGGAACUGGUGUUGCUGUUCUAGUCUGAGGGUAGUGAAGCUGGAGACCCAAGGAGGAGCCGGUGCUAUUAUUGUUCAUGUCUGAGGAUUGUGUAGCUGGAGACCCAGGGAGGAGUCGGAGCUGCUGAUCUAGUUUGAAGGCUGUGGAGCUGCAGAUCCCAGGAAGAGCCGGUGCUGCCGUUCAAAUCUGUGGGUCUUGGAGUUGGAGCCCUGGGGUGACCCAGUUCUUUCAUUCAUGUCUUAGGAUCAUGGAACUGGAAACCUACGGAGGCGGCGGUACUGCUGUUCUAGUUUAAGGAUCGUGAAGCUGGAGACCUGGACAGGAGCUGGUGCUACCGCUGUUCAAAUCUGAGGGUCAUGGAGCUGGAGUCUUGGGGAGGUGCCGGUGCUGCCUCUCAAGUCUGAGGGUUGUUGAGCUGGAGAUUCAGGGAGGAGCCGGUGUUGCUGUUGUUGUUGGAGGAUUGUGGAGCUGGAGGCCAAAGAGGAGCUGGUGUUGCAGUUCAAUUUUGACGGUCGUGUAGCUGGAGACCUAGGGAGGAGCUGGUGCUACCACUGUGUAAGUUGAGGUUUGCAGAGCUGGUGGCCACGGGGAAGAGCCAGUGCUAUAGCUGAAGUUUGAGGGAACUGGAGACCCAGGGAGUAGCCGGUGCUGCUUUCUAGUUUGAGGGUUGUGGAGCUGGAGGCUUGGUGGGGAGCCGGUGCCGCCUCCCAAGUCUGAGAGUCAUUGAGCUGGAGAUCCACAGGGGAGCUGGUGCUGCUGUUGUAGUUUGAGGAUUGUGGAGCUGGAGACCCGGGGCGGAGCUGGUGCUGCAGUUGGAGUUUGAGGGUCAGGGAGCUGGAGAUCUGGGGAGCGGCCAGUACAGCUGUUUAAGCCUGAGGGUCGUGGAG
rnacentral:lncRNA from 1 species